rnacentral:rRNA from 1 species
AGAGGUUGAUCCUGGCUCAGGAUGAACGCUGGCGGCGUGCCUAAUACAUGCAAGUCGAGCGAACAGACGAGGAGCUUGCUCCUCUGACGUUAGCGGCGGACGGGUGAGUAACACGUGGAUAACCUACCUAUAAGACUGGGAUAACUUCGGGAAACCGGAGCUAAUACCGGAUAAUAUAUUGAACCGCAUGGUUCAAUAGUGAAAGACGGUUUUGCUGUCACUUAUAGAUGGAUCCGCGCCGCAUUAGCUAGUUGGUAAGGUAACGGCUUACCAAGGCAACGAUGCGUAGCCGACCUGAGAGGGUGAUCGGCCACACUGGAACUGAGACACGGUCCAGACUCCUACGGGAGGCAGCAGUAGGGAAUCUUCCGCAAUGGGCGAAAGCUUGACGGAGCAACGCCGCGUGAGUGAUGAAGGUCUUCGGAUCGUAAAACUCUGUUAUUAGGGAAGAACAAAUGUGUAAGUAACUAUGCACGUCUUGACGGUACCUAAUCAGAAAGCCACGGCUAACUACGUGCCAGCAGCCGCGGUAAUACGUAGGUGGCAAGCGUUAUCCGGAAUUAUUGGGCGUAAAGCGCGCGUAGGCGGUUUUUUAAGUCUGAUGUGAAAGCCCACGGCUCAACCGUGGAGGGUCAUUGGAAACUGGAAAACUUGAGUGCAGAAGAGGAAAGUGGAAUUCCAUGUGUAGCGGUGAAAUGCGCAGAGAUAUGGAGGAACACCAGUGGCGAAGGCGACUUUCUGGUCUGUAACUGACGCUGAUGUGCGAAAGCGUGGGGAUCAAACAGGAUUAGAUACCCUGGUAGUCCACGCCGUAAAC